GACAGAGGCCUCAAGCGUUAGGCGGAAUCACUGGGCUUAAAGCGUGUGUAGGCGGACGCCUAAGUACCUUGUGAAAUCCCACGGCUCACCCGUGGAACGGCUGGGUAUACUGGGCGUCUUGGGCCAACUAGGGGCAACUGGAACAAGCGGUGGAGCGGUGAAAUGCGCAGAUAUCAGGAGGAACACCGGUGGCGAAGGCGGGACUCUGGGCCGAUACUGACGCUGAGGAGCGAAAGCGUGGGGAGCAAACAGG
rnacentral:rRNA from 1 species